rnacentral:rRNA from 1 species
GCUCAGGACGAACGCUGGCGGCGUGCCUAAUACAUGCAAGUAGAACGCUGAAGAGAGGAGCUUGCUCUUCUUGGAUGAGUUGCGAACGGGUGAGUAACGCGUAGGUAACCUGCCUUGUAGCGGGGGAUAACUAUUGGAAACGAUAGCUAAUACCGCAUAACAAUGGAUGACACAUGUCAUUUAUUUGAAAGGGGCAAAUGCUCCACUACAAGAUGGACCUGCGUUGUAUUAGCUAGUAGGUGAGGUAACGGCUCACCUAGGCGACGAUACAUAGCCGACCUGAGAGGGUGAUCGGCCACACUGGGACUGAGACACGGCCCAGACUCCUACGGGAGGCAGCAGUAGGGAAUCUUCGGCAAUGGGGGCAACCCUGACCGAGCAACGCCGCGUGAGUGAAGAAGGUUUUCGGAUCGUAAAGCUCUGUUGUAAGUCAAGAACGAGUGUGAGAGUGGAAAGUUCACACUGUGACGGUAGCUUACCAGAAAGGGACGGCUAACUACGUGCCAGCAGCCGCGGUAAUACGUAGGUCCCGAGCGUUGUCCGGAUUUAUUGGGCGUAAGGCGAGCGCAGGCGGUUUGAUAAGUCUGAAGUUAAAGGCUGUGGCUCAACCAUAGUUCGCUUUGGAAACUGUCAAACUUGAGUGCAGAAGGGGAGAGUGGAAUUCCAUGUGUAGCGGUGAAAUGCGUAGAUAUGUGGAGGAACACCGGUGGCGAAAGCGGCUCUCUGGUCUGUAACUGACGCUGAGGCUCGAAAGCGUGGGGAGCGAACAGGAUUAGAUACCCUGGUAGUCCACGCCGUAAACGAUGAGUGCUAGGUGUUGGAUCCUUUCCGGGAUUCAGUGCCGCAGCUAACGCAUUAAGCACUCCGCCUGGGGAGUACGACCGCAAGGUUGAAACUCAAAGGAAUUGACGGGGGCCCGCACAAGCGGUGGAGCAUGUGGUUUAAUUCGAAGCAACGCGAAGAACCUUACCAGGUCUUGACAUCCCGAUGCUAUUUCUAGAGAUAGAAAGUUACUUCGGUACAUCGGUGACAGGUGGUGCAUGGUUGUCGUCAGCUCGUGUCGUGAGAUGUUGGGUUAAGUCCCGCAACGAGCGCAACCCCCAUUGUUAGUUGCCAUCAUUCAGUUGGGCACUCUAGCGAGACUGCCGGUAAUAAACCGGAGGAAGGUGGGGAUGACGUCAAAUCAUCAUGCCCCUUAUGACCUGGGCUACACACGUGCUACAAUGGUUGGUACAACGAGUUGCGAGUCGGUGACGGCAAGCUAAUCUCUUAAAGCCAAUCUCAGUUCGGAUUGUAGGCUGCAACUCGCCUACAUGAAGUCGGAAUCGCUAGUAAUCGCGGAUCAGCACGCCGCGGUGAAUACGUUCCCGGGCCUUGUACACACCGCCCGUCACACCACGAGAGUUUGUAACACCCGAAGUCGGUGAGGUAACCUUUUGGAGCCAGCCGCCUAAGGUGGG